UACGGGGGGAGCAAGCGUUGUUCGGAUUUACUGGGCGUAAAGGGCGCGUAGGCGGCGUGACAAGUCACUUGUGAAAUCUCCAGGCUUAACUCGGAGCGGUCAAGUGAUACUGUCGUGCUAGAGUGCGGAAGGGGCUACUGGAAUUCUCGGUGUAGCGGUGAAAUGCGUAGAUAUCGAGAGGAACACCUGCGGCGAAGGCGGGUAGCUGGGCCGACACUGACGCUGAUGCGCGAAAGCCAGGGGAGCGAACGGG
rnacentral:rRNA from 1 species